AAAAAAUAUUUACAUGUACAUAAUAAAUAUGUUGUUUAUUUUGUUUAUACAACUCUUACUUUUUUAAUGUACUUUAUAAAAUGUUUUAAUAUUCAGAACAAGUUUUAAAUAUAUAUAAAUAGUAUCAAGUUCCACUUAUAAUAUAGUGUGAAUUUACGAUUGUAAUUUAUGAGAAAAUGCAGAUGGAACAAAAGUGUAAUAUUAUUACUUGGAUAUGAAGUAAACUUGUAAUAACACCAGAAAUGUAGUGAUUAACUGCACCACCACUGCGUAAUAUCCCUCUAUAAAUUGUGAAGCAUUCAUAAAAAUCGAACAAGGGCAUUCCAUCCAUCCAAAGCGAAUUGCUGGUGAAAGAAUCUUUGAAAAUGAACAAUUUGAUAUAAUAUUGCCACCUUUGUAAUUGGGAUCCUCUAGGUUGUCAUAAAAGAACAGUCGAUGGGGCGGAUUUCCGUUUCCAUAAUAAACUAACCGCAUGAUCGAACGCGAUCGAUAAUUCAACGAUUGGAACGAUUGGAUGGAAUUCAACGAUUUUACUAAAGACAUGGACGAUAAAAAACGCACCUGCUGCAUCUGUCAAGCCACAGGAAGAAACUGGGAUGGAAAUUGAAGAACGAGAAGAAUAUCAACCCGUGCUCACCUUGGAUGCCAGGACAAUGUGGAACUUCAGGACAGCGUGGGACUGAAGGGCUUCAUUGAUCCUGAUACCAGUAGAGAUUCCGGCGCCUAUAAUGUGCUUCCUGGUUCAUCCAGAGAUUAGUGUAUUACCUUACAAUAAUAUUAUUUUCUAUUGCAUUCCUUUUUUUAGUUAUGAUAGGUAUUCAGUAUUAUGUGUGUCAUUUAAAAGGUGCUUCUAUUAAUUUUUCGUUACAAUUACAUAUUGUACUGUCCAAAGGGGUCGACUCCAAGCAGUCAGCAGGAAAUGCUUUAAAGGUAUGAAGUAUUUUUUUUAUUAUAUAUUUUAUUGCAUUUUUUUAUUAUAUAUUUUUAUUGUACAUUUUACCCUAUUUUUAUUGUAUAUUUCAUUGUAUUUUUAUUAUAUAUAUAUUUUAAAUAUAACGUAUGUAUAUUUUUAUUAUACAUUUUAUUAUAUUUUUAUUAUAUAUAUUUUUUAUUGUAUAUUGUACUGUAUAUUUUUAUUACAUUUAUGUGUAAUAAAUUUAAUUUCGUAAAGUAGGGCCUUUUUUUUUCUUCCUUUACUUUUUAUUCAGUUUCAUUUUAAAGCAGGUACAAAUACACAUAUAUAGGACCAUGCUGUUGUGUGUGUGGCUCACUGAUUAUCUUGUAUGUGGUAGUAACGACACUGGCGCUGCCAAGAUGCGGGGGCUCGAAUUAAAUCGGGCUUCAACGCGAAAUACGGUAGCUUAGCGGCCCUGGUCUAAGCUAACAUACGCUGCUGAAUAUUGUUAAUUAUGACAGAAAACAGUAAAAGUAGAGUCGCUAUGGGAGCUUGCGCUCUAGUUUGAACAUUUAUCUAGCGGAAACGACUAUUGAGAAGUCUCGAAUCUGCACUGUCAAGACUUAAAUAGGACAAUGCGCAAGCCCUUGCAUUCUGUCCAGGAUUAUCAUGUUACACGUAAAAUAUAGUUCCGGCAUUUGUCGCUACAAACGCUCAUAACUGUCCGCACAUAGAGACACUCAGUCAGAAACACAUAGCAAAGGAGACACAUGCCAUCGGUAAGGUAGGCUUUAUAAGCAAGCGAGACGUCAACGACAAUGUAUCGUUGGUACGAGCAGCCGUCCGAGACACAUUCACACAUGCAACGCUCGGUGGCAUGUCCGUGUGCCUACGAGACUGCAAGGGUUCCGUAUUGUCCUAUUUAUGUCUUGACAGUGCAGAUUCGAGACUUCUUAAUAGUCGUUUCCGCUAGAUAA